GACGAACCGUGCGAACGUUAUUCGGAAUCACUGGGCUUAAAGCGCGUGUAGGCGGGUCGGCGCGUCGGCCGCUGAAAUCCCCCGGCUCAACCGGGGAAGGGGCGCCGAUACGGCCGGCCUGGAGCGACGUAGGGGGGACUGGAACUUCCGGUGGAGCGGUGAAAUGCGUUGAGAUCGGAAGGAACGCCCGUGGCGAAAGCGGCUUACUGGGUCUCUUCUGACGCUGAGGAACGAAAGCUAGGGGAGCGAACGGG
rnacentral:rRNA from 1 species